AAAGGGCUCUGGCAGGCUUGUGCCUGCAUGAUGACACUGCCCAGGGCAUCAAGACAGCAAGGCCCGGCCAGCAGCAUCCUUAUAAAUUCCUGGCCUGGCAGGUGCCCUGGGUCCUCGCCAUCUCACCGGGUCUCUGGUCUUCCUUCUGUGGUCAGGUCACCGGAGGUCGGUUCUGCUGGAGCACCUACUGCUUUGCCUUUUGUCUGAGACCUGGAGCCCACGGACAGACCAGGUUCUGCGAAAGCGGAUAAUACCUCCCAUCCCAGGAGCAGGACCUUGGCUAAACCAACCAUUGAAGUCCACCUACCUGCAAACAGUGAUUGGCCCAAGGGACUCUGAGCUUCAGGAGGACAGGAACUAUUGUCUUUGGACUUAAAUUUCUCCCUGCCUGGGUCCUGGUAGGGGCUCAAUAAAUAAGCAAUAAGGAAAUUGUUGGAGACCACAGAACAGCAGAUCUCUGCAGAAGACUCACAGACUCAGCACUAAGGGGGUACCUGAGAGGCCAUCCAGUGCUACAUCUUUGCUGACAAGGAAAUGAGGCCCAGAAAGAGAAAGUCAUUUUCCCUGGGGUCACACAGCAAGUGAGAGAAUAUGAGCUCCGUGAGGACAAAGGCACUGCUUGUCUUGUUUGUGCUGGAUCUUCACUGCUUAUACCAGGACCAGACACAAGGUUUGGAUUCACUUCUUCAUUCAUCUGGAAGAACAGAAAGGAUUUCCAAAUGCUUAUCAAACGUAUCCUCUGGGCACUGAAGACGGGCCUUGUCCUCAGACCCUGACUAUCACUUUGUGGAACCACAUGGCACAGGAUGGGAUGUCUCCACCUCCUCUUCUCUCCAUUGUCAACCCACCCACUCAGCAGUUUAUCAGCCCCCCUCUUUGUCCCCCUGUACAUUAUGAAGCAACAGGAUAAAAAUCUCCUUUAAUGUUUAGUGAGAAAUAGAAUGUAAACCAAUGGUACAACUGUAGUGGGCUUCAGAGCUGAACAGGCUCAGGAUGAUUCUGGAAGUUUCCUGGCUCCCUGCCCUUCUUAGGGGCCAAGAAAAUGGAAAUCACCACCCAUUACAGUGGACCACGGACAGGUCCCUCAGAUCUCUUACCCUGUGUGCCUCAGUCUUUUCAAUGACUGUGAGAUGUAAGUCCUGCUUCAUCUCCUAGCCUCACCUUCGUUUCCUUUCCUCAACUCCAGGCCAGGCAGCACCAGGUCCUGUCACACCCUGCACAGGCUGUGCUCUGCCAUCACCUACCUUUGCUCAUGCUCUUUCCUCUGCCUGGAAUGCCUUUCUCCCACCAGCUUUCUCUAGCAAGCUUUUACUUUUGCUGGAAGACUCAGCAUCAUUUCCUGAGCCCCAAGCUAAUCUGUGCCACCUCCCCCCCCCAACCCUGGGAACCCCAUGCUUCCCUCUGCCUCGACAUUCAGCACUUUGUGUUGGAAACAUCUGCUUUCUGGUCUACCUCCCACGUGGACGCUGAGUUCUGGGAAGACCUUCUCUGACUCCACCCUGAUUCCCAGAGGCCAGCACAGGACCUGACCUACAGUGGGUGCUCGGAGAAAUGCUUUCUGGAAUCUGGCUCAACACCCUUUGGUUGUCCUCCUCCUCUAAAUGGGCAUGUGAAUUAACUCAGCCUGUGCCCAGAGAAACAGGAACUUAAAGAUAAGUACAAAGUGGCCGAAUCUCCCGAGCCCCCAGGCUCUUCCACCAUUUGUGGUGAGUUGUGAAACAGAGAGUGGGCAGCCCAGAGUGGGGACCUGAGAAGCUGUUGGUGGUGGGAGUCCUUGGGUGUUCCCACGUGGUAUAGUUUUCAUGGGUCCAAAACCAUCCAUCUUACCAGAAAUUCCAGCGCUAGAGCAACUUUCCUCUAGCUGAAAUCUCUCACCCUGGUUAAAAUGGAAAGCCUCAUGACAUGGACUUCUAAGGGGUCUUUAUUUCUACAGCUUUAUUUAUUUUUAUGUAUUUAUUUAUUUGCUGUGUUUUUAGGGCCAUACCCAAGGCAUAUGGAUAUUCCCAGGCUAGGGGUCUAAUAGGAGUCGUAGCUGCUGGCCUACACCACAGCUCACAGCAACGCCAGAUCCUUAACCCACUGAGUGAAGCCAGGGAUCAAACCUGCGUCCUCAUGGAUGCUAAUGAGAUUCAUUUCCACUGAGCCACAAUGGGAACUCCUCUACAGCUUUCUUGAUAAUCAUAAAGUGGUAUACCAAAAGCUGUGCCCAUCAUCUCAUUUAAUUUCACAACAAGUCUAGGAACUCAGUACUAUUUUCCCCAUUUUAUGAGUGAGGAAACAAAGGUACAGAGAAAUUAAGGUGCCCAAGAUCACACACCUCUGAAAUGGAAGAGCCAGGGUCCAAACCCAGCUCUGUCUGGCCCCAGGGUGCUUCUUCUUACCCAAAAGGCUAAAUUGCCUACUUGAAUGAGGGGAAAUGUCCCUGAACAGGAACCGGGAGAUCUGCCACGUGACUUUGGCUUGGUCACAAUACUUCUGACCCUUGAUUUCCUCAUCAUUUCCCUCUAAGCCCAAGGUUACACUUGACUCAAGACACAAGUAGCAUCACUUCCUCUACAGAGCCUCUCCCAACCACUCCAAGUCAUAGUCAAUGGAGAGCUAAUCAACUCUUCCUUUGUGUUCCCAUCUGCCCCUUUGUCCCAGCACCCAUGUAUCAGUUCGUUAUCACUGUGUAAUAAAACACUUCCAAACUCAAUGGCUU
rnacentral:lncRNA from 1 species